AGUGAACGCUGGCGGCAGGCCUAAUACAUGCAAGUCGAGCGAGAAGGUGUAGCAAUACACUUGUAAAGCGGCGAACGGGUGAGGAAUACAUGGGUAAUCUACCAUCGAGUGGGGAAUAACCAACCGAAAGGUUGGCUAAUACCGCGUACGCCUCCGAGUCUUCGGGUUCGGAGGGAAAGCUGCACUGUGAGUGUAGCGCUCUUUGAUGAGCUCAUGUCCUAUCAGCUUGUUGGUAGGGUAACGGCCUACCAAGGCUUUGACGGGUAGCUGGUCUGAGAGGACGAUCAGCCACACUGGCACUGCGACACGGGCCAGACUCCUACGGGAGGCAGCAGUAAGGAAUAUUGCGCAAUGGGCGAAAGCCUGACGCAGCGACGCCGCGUGGGGGAUGAAGGUCUUCGGAUUGUAACCCCUUUCGGAGGGAAGAUGGAGCGAGCAAUCGUUCGGACGGUACCUCCAGAAGCAGCCACGGCCAACUUCGUGCCAGCA
rnacentral:rRNA from 1 species